rnacentral:misc_RNA from 1 species
AAAGUCGUAACAAGGUUUCCGUAGGUGAACCUGCGGAAGGAUCAUUAACGAGUAACGAGUCCUUCUGGGCUCGCACUCCAACCCUAUGCUUAUCUGCUCUGUGCCUCGGCAGGGUGCCUUUUAAGCACACCUGCCGGGAGAGGGGCCGCGGCGGACAGCUGGCUUCGGCCUGCUUGAGGCGCGGCUUCGACCAAUCAAACUCUGCGUAAAACUUUUAAGAGUCUGAUCUAAAAUGUAUGGCAUUAAAACUUUCAACAACGGAUCUCUUGGUUCUG